CGGAGGGCGCUGUUGGGUGUUCUCUUUGUGCUCGGACAUGGCGGCGAUGUGUAGCCUGCUGUGUGGUGCAAUCCCCGUCCAUCCUCCCACGCUGGAUGCCGGUGUCCCUCGAACGCCUCCCGGAGCCCUCCGGUGACUUAUCCCGGAGAUGACCCGGUGGAAACCGAAGGGCCCAGACCCCUGGCGGGAAGCCUCCGGAAGUAUCGCGGUAUGGGAUGUGAAGAUAAAGUAACCCUUUCAAGGAGUGCCUCCAGAAGAAUUAAUAACCAGUGGCUGAAUGUCACUUGAAUGGCAAACCUCACACAGCCUUCGGAAAUGAUGGGACAAUGUGUUAUCAGGCUGGGAGUCCUGCACGCACUAGGUCUGACUACGCAUGGACUACUCAGCUUGAAUGGAGGAUGCUCAUCUCGGUGCAUGGUGACAAGAGGAAAGUGCUGUCAGAUGGAAUUAUUUUGUGAUAAGACUCAAUACUUCUAUGAAGUUUGGAUAACUCCCUUUAACUAGCUAAAAGCUCUGUAUUGACUAAGUUUCAUAUUUACUGUAACUUAAGUGACCUAACACACCUGGCAAACUGCUGUAAAUAAAGGAAACUACUGUUUAUCUGCUUACUUUGUUUCCCAUCUGGUUUCUAUUUGCCAAAUAAACAGCAAACUGGGUAUUAUGC